GUCGUCGCCGCCUCGGAUUCGCUUGGUGCAGGUCGGGAACGGCUCGAUUUCUCGCUCUCCCCCCUCGAUCCCCACAGCGAGCCGGAUCCCGCCUUGCACCAACUGAAUCGGAGCCGGAUUGCGAUG
rnacentral:pre_miRNA from 1 species